rnacentral:tmRNA from 1 species
CGUCUUUAAUUCGGAACGGUUGAUCCCUAUAUUCAUGGGCGUCGGGCUUGCCCGACUAUGGGGAUAAACGCGCGCGUAAUAAGCGGACUGGACCCGGGUGCGAUUCCCGGCGGCUCCACCAAAUCUUCCCCCGGGUAUCGCCGGGCAAGUGCGGGGCCGAUCAGGAUCGACAGACGUGUAAAGGCGUAGCUUUCUCCCGGCCUGACCCACCGUUUCGGGUCUUUUGAUAGAUGCGAACGAUAACUUCGCUUCUGAAGUUCGGCUCGCCGCGUAAGCGCGCGCUGACUUCAACCUAAAGCCCUUGCGGUUAGCACCGUAAGGCGGGGCUCGGAGGGGGCCUGGCAACAGAACCCCUCCACC